UACAGAGGGUGCAAGCGUUGUUCGGAAUCAUUGGGCGUAAAGGGCGUGUAGGCGGUAUGUUAAGUCAUGUGUGAAAUCCCUCGGCUCAACCGGGGAACGACGCAUGAAACUGGCAAGCUAGAGUACCAAAGAGGGUGGUGGAAUUCCCGGUGUAGAGGUGAAAUUCGUAGAUAUCGGGAGGAACACCAGUGGCGAAGGCGGCGACCUGGGCCAAUACUGACGCUGAGGUGCGAAAGCGUGGGGAGCAAACAGG
rnacentral:rRNA from 1 species